rnacentral:lncRNA from 1 species
CCAAUCGAGUUACAGCAAGAACUCAGAUUUCAUAAUGAAGAAGACCUGGUGCAGAAUAAUGAAUGGUGAAGCAGAUCAUGAAUCCAAGUGCAGAAUGAAUUAAGGUAAUCUAGAAUGAGGAAGGAGAAAUCCCCCAGGUUGAAAAAGACGAUGAAGAGCCAGGUUGAAAAUGCAGAGUGAAGACGGAGAAAUUGCAGAAUGAGAAUUUUCAGCAUCCAGCCCCUUGGUUAGAAUAAUCUGAGUUAGUUAUAAGUUAGUUAUAGAUUCAAUUAUGUUUCAGGAACUGUUUGACUUUUAUCUUCAUCUUGCAAGUCAGAUGUAUUUGAUUCAGCCGAGCUUUCUAACUCCGCUUGUAGCCAUUCCAUUAGAAGAUAAGGAGAAGGAUCAUCAUGUACACGUGGAGCAUGCUCUCUUAGGAGAGGGUGAUCAUCUGGGAGAACAUAACCUGUGCGCUCGGUUUUGAGACGGCUAGCUUCUUUCACUUUUGGUAAAGGGGUGUUUGCAGCACAGGGAUGUAAUGUAACUAAAGCCGUUGAUGUAUUCAUGCCUUGGUCAAAU